AGAGAAACUAUGACAACAUUUAUGGCUACCAUAACGAAUCCAAGCAUUAAUCUAGCUACAUUAUUAGGUGUUUCAGCUAAUCCCAACUUGAACCAACCCUCCUCAUCAUCAAGCCACUUGGUUCCAAUCCCUCAGGUAAUUAUAAUAUAUACAUGUAUAUUUUUACGUGUAAUAUGUUUUCAAUUAUACAUAGUUCGAGCUGUAUACGAUGAUUGACAUUGAUUUAUCAUUUGUAGAGAAACUUGGCAAAUAAGGGGAAUUCUGCGAGUUGCACUAAUGUUACUCAAGUUCUUCUUAAGAGUAUCGUAAGGCCCAAGGAUACUGUAGCUAAAGGAACUGUUUUGAGCAUGGAUCCAUUAACAAAAGUAGGGGGGCAAAAACUUGGAGUUGGUUUCUGAGAAGUAUCUGUUCAAGUGGCAAUGGUACGUGAUGAGGAUUUGAUAAGGACUCAUGGAUGAUAUAAAACAAUUGGGGAUGCAAUUGGAACGAGUAUUGCUUGGCCCACUACUUUAUGUAUUGUUGUAAACAGAAAUGGAUGAUGACUACAUGGGAGAAGUUUUUAUUAAGUAUUUGGAACUAUACACAUCUUUUGUAGGUGGGGGUAGUAGGGAUCCAUGGUUUCAGACUUUUUGGAUUGAGUUAGACACAUCUAAACAAUUUAUUUUUAUCUUAGUUUAAUUAUAGAUGGCACAUCUAAACUCAUCUAAUCUCUUUAAUUUGAUCUUAGUUUUAUAAGAUUAUGAUUUGUGAUUUGAAUUUUGCAUUUGGAUGUCUUUAAUUUAAUCUCUUCUGUUUCUUUUCUUUUUACACGUGGUCACUUGGUCAUCAUAUUUGUAGUGUAAGAGUUCCUAUCAUACCUUUUAGUAAAUUUACAUAUAAGUCUUAGGCUCCAUUUGGUCAUCACAUCAAUCUUUAUGAAUAUAAUUUUUUCUCAAACCAAAUGGAGCUUAAGCCCUUUUUUAACUCUGCCAAUGCAACUUCUUGCAUUGCCGGUCCCAAGCCUGAGUAAAGGAGGAGGGAAAAGGGCGUCAAGGUCACUUGACAUAGUUGGCAUGGCUCACCCUCUAUUUGGUUAUGUUGUUUAUACACGUAUCAUCUUCCAGGCCGAUUUAGUAGUGAAAAAUCUUUAUCUUAUUCUAUUGAUAGAAAUAAUGAGGCAGUGGCAGGUAAGUGCUGUUUAGAAGGUAAUUGCUACAAUGACUGUUGGGAAGGAUGUUUUGUCGCUGUUUACAGAUGUUGUGAACUGUAUGCAAAUAGAGAAUCUGGAGUUGAAGAAGCUUGUAUAUUUAUACCUUAUAAACCAUGCUAAAAGCCAACCUGAUCUAGCUAUAAUUGCUGUGAAUAUGUUUGUGAAGGUAAGUGCUUUCAUGUAGCAGUCGUUUCUUGGAAUUUGGUCCACGUCACCUUAUAAAUUGGCAUGCUGUAAAAUCCAUUUCCAUUAAUCAAUGCACUUCCUAGCAAUUACUUUUAGUAUAUGGACCGGAUGGUAUUUGUUCUUGAGUUUGAAUUGCUUGUCCUAACAGGUGCAUAA